rnacentral:lncRNA from 1 species
GCUACUGAAGGGAGAGGUCUCAGGAGAAACUAAGCCUGCUGGCACCUUGAUCUUGGAUGUCCAGCAUCUAGAACUUUGAGAAAACAAAUUCCUGUUGUUUAAGCCACCUGUUUGUGGUAUUUUGUUAUGGCAGCCUUAGCAGACAAUAAAUAUAUACUGUCAAGUAAUAAGGGAGCAUUUUGAAGAAGAAAAUAUCAAGGCUGACGGUGAAUGAAGCGCAUUAGACUGAGAAUAGCUGCUGAGUAGAAAACCGGUGGGAAAACAGAGAAUUUCCUGGAGGCAUGGGAGGGGCACGCUGUAAUGAGUGGGAAUGUCACAGGCGCUGUUUCAAAAAGAGUGGAUGAAAGCCUGAGAAUGCGGCUGUAAAGGCUACUGGAAGGCUCCUCGGGCAGGGGACAGGAUGUGAGCCCCUGGAAUAGACUCAUAAAAGAAAAUGUUAGCACAUACCAUUGAAUUCACUGAGACACAUGAGAAAAUAUGGGAAAGUCGGAGAGUGGAAGAAAAUGUAAAGACCCCCCUCCUCCCCAAAGAGUACGUUGUGUAGUGGGGUAGAGUGGAAAAUCAAUCCAAGAAAAGUAGCAAACGGACCCAAAGAUGAAGAGGAAGAAAAGAAACAGCAACACGAAACGAAAAAAAAAGCCACCAGAUUUGUUGCAACGUUGAUGUAAACCUGGCCGUCUUCCUGAACCAGUGACCCAGGGUUUCCGCUUCCCUUUGCUGUCAUCUUGCU